rnacentral:tRNA from 1 species
GCCUCUGGAACUCAGUUGGUUAGAGCGCUGCAUCGAAAUCGCAGGACAGCAGGUUCAAUUCCUGCCAGAGGUC